ACGUAGGGCGCAAGCGUUAUCCGGAAUUAUUGGGCGUAAAGAGCUCGUAGGCGGUUUGUCGCGUCUGCUGUGAAAGACCGGGGCUCAACUCCGGUUCUGCAGUGGGUACGGGCAGACUAGAGUGAUGUAGGGGAGACUGGAAUUCCUGGUGUAGCGGUGAAAUGCGCAGAUAUCAGGAGGAACACCGGUGGCGAAGGCGGGUCUCUGGGCCGAUACUGACGCUGAGGAGCGAAAGCGUGGGGAGCGAACAGGA
rnacentral:rRNA from 1 species